rnacentral:rRNA from 1 species
CUCGUAGGCGGUUCGUCGCGUCCGGUGUGAAAGUCCAUCGCUUAACGGUGGAUCCGCGCCGGGUACGGGCGGGCUUGAGUGCGGUAGGGGAGACUGGAAUUCCCGGUGUAACUGUGGAAUGUGUAGAUAUCGGGAAGAACACCAAUGGCGAAGGCAGGUCUCUGGGCCGUUACUGACGCUGAGGAGCGAAAGCGUGGGGAGCGAACA